CCUACGGGAGGCAGCAGUAGGGAAUUUUCCGCAAUGGGCGAAAGCCUGACGGAGCAAUACCGCGUGAGGGAUGACUGCCUGUGGGUUGUAAACCUCUUCUCAAGGAAGAAGUCCUGACGGUACUUGAGGAAUAAGCAUCGGCUAACUCUGUGCCAGCAGCCGCGGUAAUACAGAGGAUGCAAGCGUUAUCCGGAAUCACUGGGCAUAAAGCGUCUGUAGGUGGUUUGGUAAGUCUGCUGUUAAAGACUGGGGCUCAACCCCAGAAAAGCAGUGGAAACUGCCAAACUUGAGUGUGGUAGAGGUAGAGGGAAUUCCUAGUGUAGCGGUGAAAUGCGUAGAUAUUAGGAAGAACACCAAUGGCGAAAGCACUCUACUGGACCAUAACUGACACUGAGAGACGACAGCUAGGGGAGCAAAUGGGAUUAGAUACCCCAGUAGUCCUAGCCGUAAACGAUGGAUACUAGAUGUUGCACGUAUUAACCCGUGCAGUAUCGUAGNUAGAGUAGUAUCCGCCGUGGAGACGCUCGCAGAGAGAAACGUAAAGUAAAGUUAGUACGGACGUGAGACGUAGCCGAACGGACGACGACGAGGGAGGUUAGGAG
rnacentral:rRNA from 1 species